UACAGAGGUGGCAAGCGUUGUUCGGAAUUACUGGGCAUAAAGGGCGCGCAGGCGGCGGUGCUGGCCCGGCGUGAAAGCCCCCGGCUCAACCGGGGAGGGUCGUCGGGGACCGCACCGCUUGAGGGCGGUAGGGGCCGGUGGAAUGCCUGGUGUAGUGGUGAAAUGCGUAGAGAUCAGGCAGAACACCUGGGGCGAAGGCGGCCGGCUGGGCCGUCCCUGACGCUGAGGCGCGAAGGCGUGGGGAGCGAACGGG
rnacentral:rRNA from 1 species